rnacentral:rRNA from 1 species
CCUACGGGAGGCAGCAGUGAGGAAUAUUGGUCAAUGGACGAGAGUCUGAACCAGCCAAGUAGCGUGAAGGAUGACUGCCCUAUGGGUUGUAAACUUCUUUUAUAUGGGAAUAAAAUGUUCCACGUGUGGGAUUUUGUAUGUACCAUAUGAAUAAGGAUCGGCUAACUCCGUGCCAGCAGCCGCGGUAAUACGGAGGAUCCGAGCGUUAUCCGGAUUUAUUGGGUUUAAAGGGAGCGUAGGUGGAUUGUUAAGUCAGUUGUGAAAGUUUGCGGCUCAACCGUAAAAUUGCAGUUGAAACUGGCAGUCUUGAGUACAGUAGAGGUGGGCGGAAUGCGUGGUGGAGCGGUGAAAUGCUUAGAUAUCACGAAGAACUCCGAUUGCGAAGGCAGUUCACUGGACUGCAACUGACACUGAGGCUCGAAAGUGUGGGUAUCAAACAGGAUUAGAUACCCCGGUAGUC